UGUUGGGUCUGUUGGCUUUCUAUACCUUUACUAUGGCCUCCCGAAACGUCCUUGUAAUUUUAUUGAGCACUACUGGAUAUAUCUUGUUUCAAAUACCAAAAAAAAAUCGUCUGAAUUGCAUGUUGUCAAUCAGGGAUGGAUAUUAGUCAUCUUUUUGUUGUGUGUGCGCAGCCAGGCACGCCUUACUGCUGGAUAGGAGCUGUCUUAAGUUGCUAGAGCUGAGGAGACAGCCGGGCACUCCUUGCUGCUGGAUGGGAACCGUCUACAUUUGCUAGAGUGUUCCUCUGGCUGCAGUCUUCUCUCAUAAGAAUGAGGGGGAUGAUGAUCCCUGCCCUGACUCUCCACACAGCCAGGGAGAGCGCGAGUAACGUGUGCACGCACACGAGCACGCACACACACACACACACACACACACACACACACACACUACUAGAUGUCUUUCUGGAUGUC